rnacentral:sRNA from 1 species
AAGAUUCACUUAACAUUCAGGGUCCAGCAACAAAAAACCCCGACUUUCGGGGUUUUUUGUUAUCUGACUUUUUGAAAGUCGGAUAGUUGCUUGGUAUUUAAAUUGGGCUCUGAGCCCUUUUUUU